rnacentral:rRNA from 1 species
GACGAACGCUGGCGGCGUGCUUAACACAUGCAAGUCGAACGGAAAGGCCCCUUCGGGGGUACUCGAGUGGCGAACAGGUGAGUAACACGUGCGUAACCUGCCCUUGACUUCGGGAUAACUUCAGGAAACUGGGGCUAAUACCGGAUAGGAAUCCUUGCUGCAUGGUGGGGGUUGGAAAGCUUCGGCGGUUUUGGAUGGACUCGCGGCUUAUCAGCUUGUUGGUGGGGUAGUGGCUUACCAAGGCUUUGACGGGUAGCCGGCCUGAGAGGGCGACCGGCCACAUUGGGACUGAGAUACGGCCCAGACUCCUACGGGGGGCAGCAGUGGGGAAGAUUGCACAAUGGGCGGAAGCCUGAUGCAGCAACGCCGCGGGCGGGAUGACGGCCUUCGGGUUGGAAACCGCUUCCAGCAGGGGCGAAGCUUGUGGUGACGGUACCUGCAGAAGAAGCACCGGCUAACUACGUG